rnacentral:rRNA from 1 species
CCCCUAGACGUUCUGGGCUGCACGCGCGCUACAAUAAUACGCACAGCGAGUAUCACCGAGCUCGAAAGGGCAAGGUAAACAAUAGAAAAGGUACUGUAAUGGUUAUAGAUCCUUGUAAUUAUUGAUCUUCAACGAGGAAUUCCUAGUAAGUAUGUGUCAUCAUCACGCACUGAUUACGUCCCUGCCCUUUGUACACACCGCCCGUCGCUCCUACAGAUUGAGUGAGCCGAUGAAACUGCCGGAUGUGGACUAUUCAUAGUCUGCAGAAGAUAUUUGAAUCGUAGCGCUUAGAGGAAGGAGAAGUCGUAACA